CCUUGCAGUACUUAUCAGUUCAAACUUCAAAAUUUCUUCGAGAUUACAAAUUACGAGUCUAAAAUUAUGAGUUAAUUUAGUAUAUGUUGACAAACUUCGAGCGAUUAAAUUUAUGUAUUUCGAGUGAAGAAUUUUAUAACAUAUAGAAGUAAAAACUUUGUAUUAUUUUUAUUCUUGGUUUGCCAUUUUUAGGCAACUGUUAGUAAACAAUUAUGGAGAGUACAUCCAGUCACAAUGAUAAUGUGUACAAUAACCGUUAUUUUUGCCAUAACUGUGAUACAGAAAUAGGAAGUGUAACUGAUGAAUAUACAUGUCCCACUUGUAAUCUAGGAUUCAUUGAAAAAGUAGAAGAACAACAGACUCCAGAAGAACCUGAUGAUGAGGAUGAUAUGGAUUACGGAAAUGUACAUUUUAUGGUAAA